rnacentral:rRNA from 1 species
GUGUCAGCCGCCGCGGUAAUACGUAGGGUGCGAGCGUUAAUCGGAAUUACUGGGCGUAAAGCGUGCGCAGGCGGUUUUGUAAGUCAGAUGUGAAAUCCCCGAGCUCAACUUGGGAACAGCGUCUGAAACUACAAGACUAGAAUAUGUCAGAGGGGGGUAGAAUUCCGCGUGUAGCAGUGAAAUGCGUAGAUAUGCGGAGGAACACCGAUGGCGAAGGCAAUCCCCUGGGCCUGCACUGACGCUCAUGCACGAAAGCGUGGGGAGCAAACAGGAUUAGAUACCCUGGUAGUCCACGCCCUAA